rnacentral:tRNA from 1 species
UAUGGAGUGGCUGUAAUUAGAGAGUUGGACUUGCAAUCCAAAGGUUCGGGUUCAAGUCCCGGCACUGUAG